rnacentral:rRNA from 1 species
GCCUGAACCAGCCAAGUAGCGUGAAGGAUGACUGCCCUAUGGGUUGUAAACUUCUUUUAUAUGGGAAUAAAGUGCAGUAUGUAUACUGCUUUGCAUGUACCUUAUGAAUAAGGAUCGGCUAACUCCGUGCCAGCAGCCGCGGUAAUACGGAGGAUCCGAGCGUUAUCCGGAUUUAUUGGGUUUAAAGGGAGCGUAGGCGGGUUGUUAAGUCAGUUGUGAAAGUUUGCGGCUCAACCGUAAAAUUGCAGUUGAUACUGGCAUCCUUGAGUACAGUAGAGGUAGGCGGAAUUCGUGGUGUAGCGGUGAAAUGCUUAGAUAUCACGAAGAACUCCGAUUGCGAAGGCAGCCUGCUGGACUGUAACUGACGCUGAUGCUCGAAAGUGUGGGUAUCAAACAGGAUUAGAUACCCUGGUAGUCCACACAGUAAACGAUGAAUACUCGCUGUUUGCGAUAUACAGUAA